AGUGUCCCAGCGGAAGAGGAAGUCACCACAUCAGGGGAUUUGUCAGGGGAUGGAGCCAAUGCGCGCAAGUGUUGUCAAAACGGCCAAUCACUUCCUUU